UACGUAGGGCGCAAGCGUUAUCCGGAAUUAUUGGGCGUAAAGAGCUCGUAGGCGGUUUGUCGCGUCUGCCGUGAAAGUCCGGGGCUCAACUCCGGAUCUGCGGUGGGUACGGGCAGACUAGAGUGAUGUAGGGGAGACUGGAAUUCCUGGUGUAGCGGUGAAAUGCGCAGAUAUCGGGAGGAACACCGAUGGCGAAGGCAGGUCUCUGGGCCGAUACUGACGCUGAGGAGCGAAAGCGUGGGGAGCGAACAGG
rnacentral:rRNA from 1 species